rnacentral:rRNA from 1 species
CAGUAGCCACGGUAAUACAGAGGUCCCGAGCGUUGUUCGGAUUCACUGGGCGUAAAGGGUGUGUAGGAGGUUGGAUAAGUCAGGUGUGAAAUCCCGCAGCUCAACUGCGGAACUGCAUUCGAUACUGUUCAACUAGAGGAUCGGAGGGGGAAGCGGAAUUCUUGGUGUAGCGGUGAAAUGCGUAGAUAUCAAGAGGAACACCGGUGGCGAAGGCGGCUUCCUGGAAGAUACCUGACUCUGAAACACGAAAGCCAGGGGAGCGAAUGGGAUUAGAUACCCCCGUAGUCCCUGUCUCUUAUAC